UUAUGUGGAUAGAUGUUUUGCCUACGUGU
rnacentral:piRNA from 1 species